AUAUUUGGCCUGAUCCAAAGUCCAUCAAGUCCAUGGAAGUAUUUCCAUUGACAUUACUGGGCUUUGGGUCAGGCCCCUUCAU
rnacentral:pre_miRNA from 12 species